rnacentral:tRNA from 1 species
GGAGAGAUGCCGGAGCGGCUGAACGGGACGGUCUCGAAAACCGUUGUGGGUUUACGCCCACCCAGGGUUCGAAUCCCUGUCUCUCCGCCA